ACACGUCACUGAUAUAGAAAGGCUAAAUGCAAAACCUUGUAAGGGGAGAGACUCGCGUACUCCGAGAAACUAACAAAACAUCCUCGCAAUUAGCCGGAUGUCCCGAUGACAUCAGCGGGGCAUCCCCCGGGACCGGCAACCGUGCUACGUAGCCUCGCGACAGGAAUUUCGCCGCUGCGCUACCCUCCUGGCUUCGGUCCCCUACCGGUCUCUACCGGCCGUGUUACCCCUACCAAGCGACCGUUCGCGGCCUCUCAACGGGAUUCUAGAAUUGAACACGGAUAGCAAGGAAACAGCAAGUGAGUUGCUGGUGGUGGGGGUGAAGAUGCUCGCCGAACGAAAUUGAAAAGUGAUCGGAAGAUAUGCACCUAGACGAAUACCGGUAGACAGACGAAUACCAGUAGACAGACGAAUGGCGCGGGAAUGAGCAAGAGGCUGAAACGGGUCCAAUUAUAUAUUAUUAUGGAUUUCAGCAGAAAAAGUAACCUCAUCUGAUGAAGUUUGUCAAGAUACAGGAUUUAACUAAAAAUAAGAUAUAUCACAAGGCAUGAUAAAAUGCAAUGUCACGGGAUCGAGCAUUCAAAAUAGGUCAUCUGGACAAUUUCUUUAUUCUUAGUGAUAGAAAUAAUUGGCUAAGAUCAUUUGUUUCAUUCCAAAAACAUCGAGCAAUAAUAUUGUUUCGGUUGUAGAUCAAAAAUC